CUGGCGGCAGGCCUAACACAUGCAAGUCGAGCGCACUCCUCGGAGUGAGCGGCGGACGGGUUAGUAACGCGUGGGAACAUACCCUUUUCUACGGAAUAGCCUCGGGAAACUGAGAGUAAUACCGUAUACGCCCUUUUGGGGAAAGAUUUAUCGGUGAAGGAUUGGCCCGCGUUUGAUUAGAUAGUUGGUGGGGUAAUGGCCUACCAAGUCUACGAUCAAUAGCUGGUUUGAGAGGAUGAUCAGCAACACUGGGACUGAGACACGGCCCAGACUCCUACGGGAGGCAGCAGUGGGGAAUCUUAGACAAUGGGCGCAAGCCUGAUCUAGCCAUGCCGCGUGAGUGACGAAGGCCUUAGGGUCGUAAAGCUCUUUCGCCAGGGAUGAUAAUGACAGUACCUGGUAAAGAAACCCCGGCUAACUCCGUGCCAGCAGCCGCGGUAAUACGGAGGGGGUUAGCGUUGUUCGGAAUUACUGGGCGUAAAGCGUACGUAGGCGGAUUGGAAAGUAUGGGGUGAAAUCCCAGGGCUCAACCCUGGAACUGCCCUGUAAACUAUCAGUCUAGAGUUCGAGAGAGGUGAGUGGAAUUCCAAGUGUAGAGGUGAAAUUCGUAGAUAUUUGGAGGAACACCAGUGGCGAAGGCGGCUCACUGGCUCGAUACUGACGCUGAGGUACGAAAGUGUGGGGAGCAAACAGGAUUAGAUACCCUGGUAGUCCACACCGUAAACGAUGAAUGCCAGACGUCGGGGGGUUGCCCCUUCGGUGUCACACCUAACGGAUUAAGCAU
rnacentral:rRNA from 1 species